rnacentral:lncRNA from 1 species
UGGAAGCCUCCUUUAUUUUUGUUGUUCAACAAUCUGAUGUUCAACCGACCGUCCCUAGACCAAGUGACAAAAGAUUCGGUGGUUAGUACUCGAGGUCCCAAGAUCGAAUCUUAUUCGAUUCAUAUUUUCAGCUAAAUUUAUUUUUAAGAAUAAUAAAAUUAUUGCAAAUAAAAAAAAAGAAAUAAAGUAGAUAACACGCUAUCGUUCUAUCAAAGACACUCAAUUGGUCUAAACCUUGAUCUAAAUGUUCAAACUCAUAUAACAAUAUUGUAGUGCUUAGUUCU